GGUGCUCCCGGAGGGCUGUGCCGGGGUCCCCGGGGCGCAGGGAGGGUCGCUGCGGGCAGCUCGGGCGGCCCCCGGGGAGCGCCGGGGCGCGGGGCCGCGGGGCGGGGGGGCCGCGCCCGGCUCCGAAACCGUUACUUGGGCUCCUGCGGCUCCGCUCCCCUUGCUCUUCCUGUCCAAAUAAUUUUAAAUUUACGCGCCUUAAAUAACAGUCUGAUUUUAUUUAUUUAGUUUCCUCCGCGGGCUCCGCCGCCGCUUCGCUGCGCCCCGGUUCCCCCGGCAGGCCCGGGGCGGCCGCCGGGCGGGCAGCGCUGCGCGGCCCCGGGGCUCGGACACCCCGGCCGCCCCCGCCGCCGCAACUUCCACUGCGCCCCUUUUUUUAUUUUUUUUUUCUACCUUCUUCCUUCUUCUUCUUUUUUUUUUUUUUCCCUUUUCUCCUUCCCCCUCCCUUUCCUCCCUCUCCCCGCAGCCGGGACUGGAGUCUCCUCAGCGAAACUCCGGUGCUUUCGCAGCCGCAGUGAGUACAGAGAAGGGACCCGCGUCUUGCCGGGGGAUGUUUCCAACGCAUCUUUGCGGCCGCUGCCGGGCGGCGGCGGCGGCGGGGCUCCCGCUGCUGCGCCGGGCUCUCCUCCCCAGCCCCGCGCCCAGGGAUGCACAAGCAUCUUCUCCCACCGCAGCUCACGUAGAAGGCAAAACCAAGCAGGCCUACCAAAGAGAGAUUCUAGCUGGAGGCAAGUCAAUGCACUACUUGUCUGAAUAGUAUUUUAAGUGUGCUUUCCUUUUUCCUUAAGAGGCAACAUAAAAGACAAAGACUUUUCAAAAGAAGAAGGACCUGGGAAUUCUCAAUACUGCAAGUUAGCUCCUUUUCGUAAAGAGAAACCACAGAUGGAUUUCACUGAGAAGAUGGUAGCUGCCAGAAGGUGGUGAGGACAGACCCAUGUGUGACAUUGUUGUAUUGAAGUGUACCAGAACAUGAAUUCUGAACGCUGGCAAACUUCAGAACAUAAACAUUUCCACUCUGACAACAGAUUACAGCCAACUGUUUAAAUGUCUAGAGGUGAGAAAAAGUUUCAUUGACUUGUGUUGCCAGUUCUGUAUUGAUAUUAGUCUGACAUAAAUUUUGUAUUUGCAUGAUCUUUUCUGUCUGUAGUAUUUGUACAGCCCUAAACCACAACAUGUGUCUUUCCUCCUCUAUAGGAGCCUCUAAGGCCCUAGAAAAUCCAUUCUGACUAUUACUUCUUCCCCAAACUAAGUAGAGGAAGUAAAAAACCAAAGAGAACUGAAGUUAAACUGCCCUGUGCUUCUGCUAAAACACAGAAACCAUACUCAUAAAUCCCAUCCUCUGAGGACCCAUCCCUCUGCUUCCUUGUCCCCAACCUGCAAAAAGCGUGGUAGCAAAAGGAGCAGGCUCACAGCUACACCUCGGCAUAUACAGGGAUAUAAAAAGACAUUUGUGAACACUAAAAUAUUUCCAUUUUCCAUCUCGUGGACCUUUGUACAGCUUUUGAGCCAGCGGUGCAAAGCCACUAUUAAUGACCUAUCUGACAAAACAGGAGUGAAUGGCUGGCAAAAGCAGUGCCUUCAACCACCCCUACUUCCAAGAAUCCAGGCAUGACUGGUAGUAGCUCCUCCUCUUCAGAGCUCUCACAGGUGCAGUCUGUCUUGGUGCAAGGCCAAACAUGAACCUCUGCUUCCUCUUUAGUCUCUGUGAGUCCACCAUGAACAGCAGGUCUCUUCUGGCACUUGACAAGUUUGCAGUUUUUCAAACAUGCUCAGAUUUGGAGCAUCCUAACUAAGGGAAAAGUUGUAACUGGGAUUAGCAGCUAUUCCUUCUGGUGAUCGGCCUCAAGGUAAAUAAAUGCAACAUCUCUACCAUGAGAUGCAGAGGAAAUCCCACCUAUGUCCUGACUGCAUAUCAGGAUGGGACCAGUUUGCACUCUGGUUUCCAAAGAAAGGCUAUUUUGACAUACCAGCCAGCAGGGAGGCACCACAGUUUUCCAUGGGACCUCCUCGCUGUGGAGGAUCAAACUGUGAUCACAGCCUCACACCACGGCGCAGUGUGACCUGUGGUUUUCACUGAACUACAUCAACGACACAGGCCCCAGCCUCACAGAGAAAACAAAACAUGAAAAUAGCUAACUCAGUCUUUUAGCUGCCCAUAUCUCAUUCCCAGUGGUGCCACUGCCCAACUGAAAAUACCAGUGACAACGCUGGAGUUUCAUCACCAGGAUCUCACAGCAGACAGCUCUGACAUUGCCUUAACCUUGAAAUCACGACUGGGUGAGGCAGUGGUUCGCUGGAUCUCCUCCAGCAAUUGCUUGCCUAAUUCUAUUAAACCACGCCAACAGACUCAUAGGAUAAACACCCAAAUGAGCAAGCCACGUACCAGUCAUUAUUUACAAUGCACCAUUGCAAAGCCUCUCUAUCUUGAGCAACACUCACAAUCCUGCCCCAUUUUCAGUUUCAGUUUCCUUG